rnacentral:rRNA from 1 species
AUGCAACCAAUCAAGAGAUCCACUCUGAUUGAGGAGGUUGGGGAGAGUCUAGUGCUGGAAGGAAUCCCGUCACAUGGCACCAGGCGGACAGUAGUCGAGGUGGCGCUGCAGGAGGCCAUAGGUGUGAGCGCCAAAGGGUGGAUCUGCGGCGCGGCUAAAGCGGUAGUGAGAAGGGGCAGCUCGCCUCCCACUCCUAAGCUGUCGACGGGGAAGAUGAAUCCGCAGGGUCCUGGUUGGAACAAGAGAUUGAGGAUUGGAGCCUCUGCCCCAAGCUUGACACCUUGCCCACCCCGCAUAAGCGCUUUUGAGAAGGCGGUGAGGGUGUUCAUAAAAAACCCAACUGAAGAUGAGCCGUGGAUCAUAAUUUAG